ACAGCAGUCGCCGCGGUAAUACGGAGGGUGCAAGCGUUAUCCGGAUUUAUUGGGUUUAAAGGGUCCGUAGGCCGAUCUGUAAGUCAGUGGUGAAAUCUCACAGCUUAACUGUGAAACUGCCAUUGAUACUGCAGGUCUUGAGUAAAUUUGAAGUGGCUGGAAUAAGUAGUGUAGCGGUGAAAUGCAUAGAUAUUACUUAGAACACCAAUUGCGAAGGCAGGUCACUAAGAUUUAACUGACGCUGAUGGACGAAAGCGUGGGGAGCGAACAGGAUUAGAUACCCCAGUAGUCCCUGUCUCUUAUAC
rnacentral:rRNA from 1 species